rnacentral:lncRNA from 1 species
GAGCACCGCUUCGCCACGUGAUCGGCAGCGCGCCCGGAGUGAUCCGGCUGCGGGCCAGGGUCUGGGAAGGGGGUGGUGGGUCGCCGUUUCAUCAGAAGCCGGAGGACGGGCGCCAGGGGGCAACUUCCUACAGGAGGGCGUCCCGUUAGAAUGACAGGGCUUUUGCAAAAGUCUGACACCCGUGGCACAGAGCGCCCCAGAUAUGGAGGGUUUCACAGGCUCAUGUGUGGCUUCUUCAGUCCUCUCUUCAUUCACUCAUGUAUUCAUUUAUUCAACGACAUAUUACUAAGGAACCUCCUUAAGCCGGGAUGCUGAACGUGGAAAAAUAGUUGACUCUUGAACAAUGUGGGGGCUUGGGGCACCAACCCCCUGUGCAGUUGAAAAUCGACAUAUAACUUUGACUCGCCAAAAACUUCACUACAAUAGCCUGCUGCCAACCUGAAGUCUUACCAAUAACAUCAACAGUCAAUUAAACAUAUUACUAGGCUGAAAAGGAGAAGGAAGUGAAGGGGUUGGUCUUGCCGUCUCACGAGUGGCAGAGGCAGGAGAAAAUCCAAAUAGUAUAGAUGUUCUUCAGGCUGGAUGCAUAUUGCCAGAUUUGAAUACUAACCUUUUAGGAAGGUUAGUAUUGACCUUUCAUUCUUGCUACUGGGGAAAAUUAAGUUAAAUAAUCUCAAUAAGGUCUUGGUUUGUGGACUUGGGGAAAAUUAUAGCUCAUCUUGCAAAAUAGCCAUAUGAGAAUUUUUACGAAUGAAUCAUUUACUGUAUGCCUGGGUAAAAAUAGCGGCACACCUUAUCUAGUGCUUUAGCUUUGAAUCUCAAAGUACACAGCCAAUUUGUAUUAUGAAUAAGGACUUCAUAACCCAUAUUGUCGACUUAAAUGGUAUUAAGUGGUGGCUGGUCAGGGAGAAGGUGGAGAGGCUAGAAACCAGGGAAUACCACCUUGCCAAAGGCUUAAAUACCAUUAGGCAGAACCAGUAUAUAUUUAUAUUCUUUGCUUAUUCAUCCUCUGUUCAUGACUAGUGUGGUCAUAAAUUAUAUUUAAACCUGUAACUUUAUAUACAUAUAAUGCAAGGCAUAGCAACAUUGCAUGCAGAAUUUCAUGACAAGUGGCCUGCAUUUUUGUGAGGAAAAAAAAAUAUGUCAAGCUGCUUUUAGGACUGUAACUAACCACUUGGCUAUUGCAUGCCUUGUGCCUUAGGUCUGGGAUGUUUCUCUUGCAUGCCUCUGGAAUCAAAUGACUCUGAUACUGCAAGCACUUCAGAGUAUGUAUAAGCAAUUUCAGCUGGUUCCGUCCUGAUAUUUACAAAACUGCCUGGAUCAUACUUACAACCAUGCAAUGAUAUAUAUUUCUAUUAAGAAAGCAACGAUUUGCUUGAAAGAUGAAGGAAAACAAACUAAGUAUUUAUGUACAAUGAGUCCUAAGUGUACACCACUAUGUUUUCCAUCAGCUUUUGAUUUUCUGUCACUCCUCUUUUUCUUUGAAAUUUAGAGUCAGAAGUGAACUGACUUCAUGGUUUUCCUCAUGAUUAUUUGAUAUCCUCUAGGGAAUCAUGACUUAAAGACUGCAUUCUUCCUUCUCAAAACUCAUGUUAAAGAUUUCUCCAUGCAGAGCCACAGGCUAUUUUGGAGUUUGAAAUGGAGCAGUUAAAACUAGGAGGUCACACACGUUGAGAUUAUUCCUUCACUGCAUCUCGCCCGGCUUGUGUGCCUGAGGAGACACGCAUCUCAGAGGGCAGAGGGGCAGCCGUUGUCUAGUGAGGUUAUUUCACCUACUAUAUAAUAAAAUGUACAGGACAAUA